GAGGUAGGGGGUGGCGUGCUUAUUAAUUAGAAAGGACGCGGUGUCUCGGUUCUCCACUGGAAUCAGCAACUCCCUGGAACUCGGGCCUCUGGCCCCGUCCCUCUUUUCUCCGGCAGGGACGCAGGAUGCCUUGGUGCACUCUAGAGACGGGGACCGGAGGGUGCAGCGCGCCUGGGUGGGGCGAAGGGCGCCGGUCUCCUCACGCCCUCUGACUUUAGGAUACCAGACAGUGUCUCUUCAACCCCACCCCAGGCGCAGGUUUCCAGAAGGCGGGGUGGGUGGGGCCCCCGAUUUCCAGAAGGCGAGUUACCUAGCAGGAGAAAAAUCAAGACGUUCCCUUCAGUCCUCCCUCGGUGUUAACGUCUGCUCCAGCUCGCAGCCCGCUGCUGGGCAUUUUAUUAAUGCUUUUACGAGUUAGAAGAGUUGGGAUAAUUUGCCAUCUGGAGUUUCUCUGCCUUGCUGAUCUGAGCUCAGACCUGCCAAUUUACCAGAGAUAAUUGAUAACACCCUGUAACAGCUGAGAGGAAAAUGGAAGAAACGGAGAUACUUUUAGUGAAGCAGAAUAAACCACUGAACAGGAAAAAUGAGGAAGCUGUGAGUACCAGUGGAAGGAACGAGCCAGGAAGAGGGACUGGAACCAUCUCAGAAGCCAUGCCCCUCAGGCUGGAACUUGCCCUGUCUCCUCGCAGAUGAGCUACCUCUUGUGUUUAAGAAUUAAAGGAAGAUGAGCUAGGAAUCAAGAAAUACGCAGAACUGAUUCCUGUCACUGGCGCCACCCUGCCACUUGCCCAGAGCUGUGGUAUAAAUUUUUUUAAUAGGCUGAAAUAAAAAUAUGAAUAGCAUUUUGGUAUUAAGCAUUAAAUUGAUAAAGGCUAUGAGAUACACCUGCUCUCAACCAUGUUAAUUUUUUAUUAUUGGUAUUAAUAAAUUAUUACUUACUAACAUAUUAACAAGAAUUGCAUUGAGAAACAAAGCAUCCACAGGCCAAAUCUUCUGAAUUUCAAAUGUUUAUAUUAAUGCGUUGUAUUCUAGAAAAGUAGAAUUGUCUUAAGUAGCUUUGUAAUAUAAAGUCAUCUAUCAGCCCAUUACACCUAUUAGAAUGUUUUAACCUUUAUUUCCCACUUUUUUGUUUCUAGACUGAGUGUACUUGGUCUGGUAUUUGUGGCAUAACUUACGGAACACAUAAGAAUGAUACAGAUACUAUUUAAUGAUGACCUAAUACAAGCUUAGAUAGCUAAGGUGAAAGCUUCUAUGGCCUUAACAUUUUCCUCUUGAAGAAUGUAUUUUCUGUAAUAAAAUACAGUGGCUACUUGAAAUCUAUAAACUUAUGUGAGGUCUGGAUAAAUCUGAGCAACUUUCUUCUUUGUGCUCCAGGAACCUACGCACUAUAUAUAUAAAUAAAGCUUAAGUAAACAUCACU
rnacentral:lncRNA from 1 species